UACGUAGGGGGCAAGCGUUGUCCGGAUUUAUUGGGCGUAAAGAGCGUGUAGGCGGCCUUACAGGUCAGCUGUGAAAACUCGAGGCUCAACCUCGAGAGGUCGGUUGAAACCGUAAGGCUAGAGUCCGGAAGAGGAGAGUGGAAUUCCCGGUGUAGCGGUGAAAUGCGCAGAUAUCGGGAAGAACACCCGUGGCGAAGGCGGCUCUCUGGGACGGUACUGACGCUGAGA
rnacentral:rRNA from 1 species